UUUAGGAAAGGCUGCAAUGAGGUCAGCCUGCAGCCUUCUUUUCUCCAGGCCGAACCUUUCUGCCUCUAAGAAUUACUGAACACUUUCCAGAUUAACUUCCAACCAGAGGCUUCCUUCCAACAAGAGAUGGGCAAGAUGCCUAUGAGACAUCUGUGAGUGACAGUUCCCACUGCAUCACAGUGGCAGACAGACUCCUCUCCUUUGAGUACCUCAAGAAUUUGGACUGCCUCUGCCCUUCGUAUUUCAUGAGAGCUGAGAGGCACAGCACAGUCAGUGGAGUGAGCAUCACUGCAUGCUCCCCAUCCCCUUGUAGGGGCUGAUGGUCCAAGGAGGGCAGCAGGGUGGAUUGUGUGGAACCAAAGUGAUGACACCUACGAGCUGGGGAAGAUUCCUUCCAGACUGGAAUCACAGUGACCUGCAGACAUGCAGCUACCCUUCAUCUCCCUGUAUUCACAUCAGCAAGAUUAGCACUGACACAGCAUGAGAACUAAACAUGGAAAGGAUCCUUAAAAGAGGAAGAGAAGUGGAACCAACCAGGUUUGAUGCGCAUAAAAUUAAGAUGCUGCAGCAGGAUGUACUGCAAGCCAUUUUGCUCGUGGAUCUCUCCUAUGCUUUGUUUCCUCUUAUACUCCCUCCGUGCAGCUGAACUGGGGCAGUCAGCUCAUCGCACAACUCGGUCCUGAUGCAGUUCAGGAGGAAAUAAGGGCAAGCACCGCUAGAGGGAGGCAAGAGACCUGCAGUUCAGUAAGCUCCGCAGGCAUUCAUCACCUCCGGAUUCAAACACAAAGCAUUCAAUCUUUCCUUGACCAUUUUCUGGUUCUCCUACCUCUUUUUAGCAGCUGCAGCACUUUCUUUUUCUUUCCCCAAAGAAAAGAGCCACGCUUGGAAAAUUUCCCUGCAGCAAUUGUCUUCAGAGCAGCUGAUGUGCAGAGGGCCACAUAUGUUUAGAAACUUGACCUCUAGGGAACAAUGGAGCUUUUUGCUUAGGAAUGUCUAGUCAGACCACUAUCCUGCUUCUCUCAGCUCCCCAGUAUUUCUUCUUCCCCUAAGAAAUCUGUUCCUAACGACAAACAAGUCCCUCUCCACUGGAAUGGCUCUCCCCAGACUUUGAAAGCAGAAAGGAAAUGGGGACAAUCUGGACUUCAUUUUGGACAGUUUGAAGACAAUGAAAAUAUUUAAUUUCAGUGGUCUGCAGAGCAGGCCCUGUGGUUGCUAAAUUAGCUUUUGCUUGUACCCAGCUGCUUUCCUGGAACAUCAGACCCACUGCCUACAGAGACACAGAGUGGGACUGGUGAGUGGGAUUGCAUGCAUGGAGCAGAAAAAAACAGAGACCAGCUCCAGGAUGAUCUCACUCUGCCCAAAGUAUCUUUUUUUCCUCAAGAGUCCUCAUCUGUCUUCACCUAACAAUGAAUGAUCCAACUCACAGGUUAUAACCACGACCAGUGAAGUCCUAAAACAGUCCCAGGAAGAGUAGUUGGGAUGAGACCUUUAUUUUACGUGGUCCCUGGCUUCACCUGCUCAAGAACAGCUGUCAUUUGCUCUCACCAAGGUGCACCUGCACCCUGCUUUAUCCACCCAAACUGCAAUGCAAGCUGCCUCCACCAGUGUCCCUGAAAGAACUCUGUCACCAGCUGGGAUACUACUCAGUGGGUGGCAGCCCUCCAAGAACAGAAUGCACAGCAGGAACUUUGCAAGGUGUUAGUUCUGCAAGGAAGGAAUUUGGGCUGGGAGAGAACUAUAAAACUGUGCCAUAAACUAUUCCAGCAGGAUAUGUUAUCUUCCCUUCUGGUCCUGCAAAAUUAUGUACUCUGAAGGAGCUGCCAGCCUUCAUCUCUGUGAUAAAUGAUUCCAACUCCAUGUGCAGCCACAGAAAUGUUCAUCACACGAUUCUGGAGAGCUAGAAUUCGCCUGUGAGCCCCACAUCUGAGACAAAUGAUGAUGUCCCAAGUCAAAAUCGCCGAAUGUCCCAUAUUAAAAUCACUGGAAUAACUCACUGCAUCAGAACUGCACUUUGUCAAGCACUUCAGGAUGCUCUGAAAUUAAAC